GUGGCGGACGGGUGAGUAACACGUGGGUAACCUACCCUUAAGUGGGGGAUAACAUUUGGAAACAGAUGCUAAUACCGCAUAACCAUUCAGACCACAUGGUCUGAAUGUAAAAGACGGCCUUUGGCUGUCACUUUUGGACGGACCCGCGGCGUAUUAGUUAGUUGGUAAGGUAACGGCUUACCAAGACAAUGAUACGUAGCCGACCUGAGAGGGUAAUCGGCCACAUUGGGACUGAGACACGGCCCAAACUCCUACGGGAGGCAGCAGUAGGGAAUCUUCCACAAUGGACGAAAGUCUGAUGGAGCAACGCCGCGUGAGUGAAGAAGGUUUUAGGAUCGUAAAACUCUGUUGUUGGAGAAGAACAGGGACUAGAGUAACUGUUAGUCCUUUGACGGUAUCCAACCAGAAAGCCACGGCUAACUACGUGCCAGCAGCCGCGGUAAUACGUAGGUGGCAAGCGUUGUCCGGAUUUAUUGGGCGUAAAGCGAGCGCAGGCGG
rnacentral:rRNA from 1 species